GGCUCUGGAGAAUCUCCCCGGUAAGGCUGACAGCAACGUUUAUAGCAACGCCGAAGGGAGUGCCGAAGGUGCAAAAUCCCCGUUACAAAACGGGGACGAAUCUCUCAGGCAAAAGGACAGAGUGCG
rnacentral:ncRNA from 1 species